CCUUCAGCCGCCAUCAUGAUUAUCUACCGCGACCUCAUCAGCCACGAUGAGAUGCUCUCCGACAUCUACAAGAUCCAGGUGAUUGCGGACAGUCUGUGCUUGGAGGUGGAGGGGAAGAUGGUCAGUAGGACAGAAAGUAACAUUGAUGACUCACUCAUCAGUGGAAAUGCCUCCGCUGAAGGCCCCGAGGGCGAAGGUACCAAAAGCACAGUAAUCACUGGUAUCCAUGUUGUCAUGAACCAUCACCUACCUGCAGGAAACAAGUUUCACAAAAGAAGCCUACAAGAAGUACAUCAAAGAUUACAUGAAAUCAAUCAAAGGCAAACUUGAAGAACAGAGACCAGAAAGAGUAAAACCUUUUAUGACAGGGGCUGCAGAACAAAUCAAGCACAUUCUUGCUUAUUUCAAAAUCUAUUAGCUCUGUGUUGGUGAA